UACGUAGGGACCGAGCGUUGUCCGGAAUCAUUGGGCGUAAAGCGCGCGUAGGCGGCCCGGUAAGUCCGCUGUAAAAGUCCAGGGCUCAACCCUGGAAAGCCGGUGGAUACUGUCGGGCUAGAGUCCGGAAGAGGCGAGUGGAAUUCCUGGUGUAGCGGUGAAAUGCGCAGAUAUCGGGAGGAACACCAAUGGCGAAGGCAGCUCGCUGGGACGUUACUGACGCUGAGACGCGAAAGCGUGGGGAGCAAACAGG
rnacentral:rRNA from 1 species